UGUGCAAGUCGGUUCAUCGUGUCCGCCAAUAGGCGGAUAAGGAAAGUCCGGGCAGCACAGAGCACCGCACUUCCUAACGGGAAGGACAGGGUCAAUUGAUUCUGGACAGAAAGUGCAACAGAAAACAAACUACCUUGAUGGUAACGUCAGGGAAAAGGUGAAAAGGUGAGGUAAGAGCUCACCGGUCUAUGGCGUGAGUCAUGACGCAUGGUAAACCUUGCGGGCUGAAAGGUCAAAUAGGUCCCGGUUUAGAGUGGCUCGCUCGUAUACGGGAUGGGUAGGCUGAUAGAUCCAGACGGUGACGUCUGGGCUAGAUAAAUGAUGAACCUACUCGUGGUUGCAUGAGUAGACAGAACCCGGCUUAUAGACUUGCUUUUUUU
rnacentral:RNase_P_RNA from 1 species